rnacentral:sRNA from 1 species
ACUAAGACCCGUAAUCCCCUGGUUGAAAUACCUGUAAUCUCUUGAUUGGAUUAAACGCCGACACAUGCUGGAUAUCGGUCAAGGCCAAUGAGUGAUAGACAGGGAUAGACGAUUACCUGAGAAAUGGGCUGGACAUAAAUGACAUUUCCAUCGGAAGCCAUGCUUGUUGGAUUCUACUUUCAUCCAUUUGCAUAAAGAAAUGAGUUCUGUUGACACGAAGAUUCCCCCCUCUCUGGUGACUAAAAUGGGUAGCGAGCCCGGGUUACACAUUUUGGCGAUAUUAAGCGAAUUUCAUCGUUGUAUUUGGAAACUUGUGUGUUUUAACAUUGCUAUUUAAGUUUAAAUACUUAGAUAAUUCAACAUUUCGUCAAAAAAAUAUCAUUUAAUAAAAUUAGAGCCAAAUAUUAUAAACCCGGGACGGAACAAAACCGGACACGUCUACCCGUGACAAACUUUCCAUUUCCGAAAAAGCGACGAUAUAUGUUAGGCCUACAUGAUUUCUUCACCCAUUGCAUGUGUUAACUCUUAGCUGGGCGGUGGCGUAGCUGCCGUUAGCCACAGGCACAUGCCUACGCAUUAUUUGAAGACCAAAAGUAAAGUCACAUUAAAAAGAAUAAAUUUAAAAUAUGUUUAUUGAUAUUAAAUAGCUUUUAGACCCCCCCCCCC